rnacentral:lncRNA from 1 species
UUGAGAACCACUGCUCUAUGUCACUGUCAUCAAUCCUGGUCUUAUGCAAGCUUGGGAAGAGAGAUACAGAGAGGCAUCAAGAAUAAUAGUCCAUGUGAUUUUAGUAGGCUAGGCUGAGAUCGAUGACUUCGUAAAGUGUCAGCUUCAUCUUGUUUUAUUUUUUAUGCUAACAAAUUUCUCGUUUCCUCCUGUAGUUUUCUGGUUCCUAUGAACAGAAGCAGAAUUUUUUCACAACAGAAAGUGAAGCAACGAAGUUUUGAGGGUUGCUCCUCAUUUAAUGAUGUGGGAUCUUGUUAUGUUACCCAGGCUGGAGAGCAGUGGCUAUUCACAGGUGUGAUAGACACACUAUGACCUGGAACUCCUGGCCUCAAGUGACCCUCCUGCCUUAGCCUCUCAAGCAGCUGGGACUAUAGGCUCCUGACACCAUAUCCAGCUGAACCUGAUUUUAUAUUCCAGUGGCUGACAAACUAACUCCUCCGAACUACAGAUUCUACCCACCUAAUUUUUGCCAGUUUGUAUGCAAAAGAACAACUUAUCACUUUUUAUUUUCAAGUCACUUCCCUCCAACCAUG